rnacentral:tRNA from 1 species
GACCAGGUAAAAUUACUUUCUAAGAGUAUCAUUCUUAUUUCUGGGUUAAAGAGGCACCUUCCGGUAC